AGUGAACGCUGGCGGUAGGCCUAACACAUGCAAGUCGAACGGCAGCACAGUAAGAGCUUGCUCUUACGGGUGGCGAGUGGCGGACGGGUGAGGAAUACAUCGGAAUCUACUUUUUCGUGGGGGAUAACGUAGGGAAACUUACGCUAAUACCGCAUACGACCUACGGGUGAAAGCAGGGGAUCUUCGGACCUUGCGCGAUUGAAUGAGCCGAUGUCGGAUUAGCUAGUUGGCGGGGUAAAGGCCCACCAAGGCGACGACCCGUAGCUGGUCUGAGAGGAUGAUCAGCCACACUGGAACUGAGGCACGGUCCAGACUCCUACGGGAGGCAGCAGUGGGGAAUAUUGGACAAUGGGCGCAAGCCUGAUCCAGCCAUACCGCGUGGGUGAAGAAGGCCUUCGGGUUGUAAAGCCCUUUUGUUGGGAAAGAAAAGCAGCAGGUUAAUACCCCGCUGUUCUGACGGUACCCAAAGAAUAAGCACCGGCUAACUUCGUG
rnacentral:rRNA from 1 species